GGUCCCUCGUGGAGAGAACUCCAUCUCUGAUGUUGGGAACAGCGGCACUCUCACUAGUUCCUUUGGCUUUUCAUUCUGAUCAGAUCUAUGGCCAAAAGACAACUCUGGAGGUCCCUGACAGCUGUGCUAAGGGCUGAGCACUCACCACAAGACAAGUGGCCUUCUCUGCAGUCGAAGGAGAGAGAAACAAGAGCUGGAUGUGAGGAACAAAUGUAUAAAGCGAAACAUGUGCUUUGUGAAUGUACAUUUUGUGGAGGAUGUCCUUCUGUUCACCAGCCCGUCCUUCAGUAGAAGGACUGCAGGCCUACUGGUGCUGACAGCAGAUGGCUCAGAAGAUUCUCCCAGGAGAGUGUGAAGUAGAAGGAGAGGUGGGAUAAUUGAGUUCAUGCUGUUGGCCCUGCAAUCCAGAGCUGUUACAGGCUGCGGAGCGGCACAGAGGAAAUGCUCGACCGCGAUGGAUGUGCAGCAGUAACGAGCACAUCUUUUGUGAAAACCCUGGAAACUCCCAGGUUGUUUCUGUUUCUUUACCUGCUGCUGGUGAAGUGUUUGUGAGUCAGCCAAGGGAACCCAGCCCAUUUUCCACAUCGACCACUGAUGAGGCAUUCCCAGGAAACACAGAAGGGAGGGAGAUCAAAGUGGAGCAGCUGGAAACCAAGGGCCAGCUUCCUGAGCUCAGCAGGUCCCACUGUUGUUGGGGAGAGAUACCGACCCAGCUGGCUGCUUUUGCAGGCAGCGCUGCUCUCCCCAGGCCUCUCCCUGCGCACACCAACUUCUGGGUGAUAAGGAGAACUUCUCAGCUCUGAACACUCAUCAAACACACCACUCCUCUGUGUGGCGUUGCCUGCAAAGCAGUGGGAAGAUCAAACAGCCCCUCAGGCAGCUGCUCACAUUGGUCAGUGCCUCUGAGAAGGAUGAGCCCAUCAGCGGAGCCGAGCGCUGCUGUACAUCACCGGCACCGGGAGGGGGGAAUGACCUUGAGCUCUUGGCCAAGUCGCUGCAAGUUAUUGGCGUGGAGAAUGACAUGGAUCAACAGAGCUGCUUGUGCACAUCCAUAUUUCCAGACUUUAAAGAGCUACUGACAAGUGAAUUUUUAGGAAGAUGAACCGAAUAACAUUUCCAUAAAUCAGGAAGCAUUAAGUGGUACCGAGGGGAGGGAACUUGUUUCAGCUUGACAGAAAAUUCUUCUCCUCUGUUGUGUUUUUAUGCAUUGGGGCCAUCUAUGGAUGAAGUUAUAAGGCAGUUUUCAUGCAUGAGGACUCAGUGAAGCAGAAAACCAAAAGUUAGUCUUCAGUGGUUGGGGAAAAUCCUGAAAGUUGGCGGUGGUGAUCUCCGGAUGAUCCAGCCCAGUUUUUCCAGGACGAGGGAGCAGAGGGCUGGCAAGUGCAGCCGGUUGUGAAGAGGAUACACAUUAACAUUAAAUCAUUAACACUCCUGGAAAAUCCACCCGGACAGACUGUGGGUGAAGCCUCAGUGUGGGUCAAAUCCUGCAGGUGAGAUGUGUAACUGCAGCACAUACCAGGAUAAAGUGAUGAUGGAUUGGGAUAACACUGAGGCCUGCCAAGGGCAUCCAGCACAGCUACAACCAGAAAUGAUCCCUCCUGGCUCCUUGGUGGCCUGAGACCAAAUAAUCAAAUUGCAAAUGCCAUACUGGAAGGGACACCUUUAAUAAAACAGGGAAAAACAGUGUAACAAGGCAUCUCCUGCUCCCAUGAGCAUCCCAUGUGAAGUGAAGAUAAGUUGUACCUGCAGCUUUAGAUCUUCACUAAGGAA